rnacentral:rRNA from 1 species
GAUGAACGCUGGCGGCGUGCCUAAUACAUGCAAGUCGAGCGAACAGACGAGGAGCUUGCUCCUCUGACGUUAGCGGCGGACGGGUGAGUAAAACGUGGAUAACCUACCUAUAAGACUGGGAUAACUUCGGGAAACCGGAGCUAAUACCGGAUAAUAUAUUGAACCGCAUGGUUCAAUAGUGAAAGACGGUUUUGCUGUCACUUAUAGAUGGAUCCGCGCCGCAUUAGCUAGUUGGUAGGGUAACGGCUUACCAAGGCGACGAUGCGUAGCCGACCUGAGGGGAGGAUCAGGCACAAUGGGAAUGAGACCCCGUCCCGGACACCAAGGGAGGGCGGAGUGGGGAAUCUUGGCGAAUGGGCGAAAGGCUGAUCGAGCCAUGGCGGGUGUGGGAAGAAAGUUUUUGGAUUCUAAAACACUUUAAGUUGGGAGAAAGCAAAGUAAGAUAAUACCAUGCUGUUUUGACGUUGCCAAAAUAAGAAGCACAGGCCAACUUCGUG